GCAUAUAAUAGGCACUCACUCAGUGGGUUGAAUGAAUCAAUAUAUUAACAAAGAAACAAAUAAAUGAAUGAAGAGAAGAAUGAAAACUCAUAAAGAGCCAGUUUCCUUUAUUCAUCUGAAAAUUUGGUGGUGUUGGACUCCUGCAAGGUAUAAGAAAGAUGAGGGAAGGAGAGGCAUACUUACAAGAUGCAGCCAUCAUCUGGCACUCAUUUCCUGGAGUUGAGGCCAUUGUUUAAAUCAAACUCUAUCCUGGGAGUGCCGUGUGGACCUUCCAGAGAUCCUGCAGGGCCUUUUGGAGCACCUCUCUGGACUAAAGCAGUUGGUCACACAAUCUCCCUAUGCAUGGAUAUCUCAAAUCUGUUUCUGCCAAGGUGUCCAGCCCAGAGAGGCAUGCUCUUGGGUGUUGUUAUGGGUUGUACUGUGUCCCCUAAAGAGAGAUGUUGAAGUCCUAACUUUUGGUAAUUGUGAAUGUGACCUUUUUUUGGAAAUAGGUUAUUUGCAAAUGUAAUUCACUUAAGACGAGUUCAUCAGGGUGGACCCUAAUCCAAUAUGACUGGUGUCCUUAUAAUAAGAGAAGACAGAAAUACACAGGGAGCGUGCCGUGUGACAACAGAGGCAGACACUGAACUGAUGUUAUUGCAAGCUGAGGAACAUAAAGGAUUGCCGGCAACACCAGAAGCUAGGAUGACUCAAGGAAUGACCCUCCUCUAGAACCUUCAGAGAAAGCACGGCCCUACUGACAACUUAACUUUGGACUUCCAAUCUCUAGAACUGUAAGAUAAUAAAUACCUGUUGUUUUAAGCCACCAAAGUUUGUGGCACAUUUUCUUGUUAUAGCAGCCCUAGGAAACAGAGCUAUCCAUAUUUGUAUAGAUUGUAUGAUACAGUUGCACAGCUUCCAGUGACCGCCAUUAUAGAAGCUAGGAAGAGUCAAGGAAGAGAGUUCUGUCAGAGACUCAGAGGGAGCUGAGUAGCCAGACCAGGCUGACAUCUUGAUUUCAAAGUUUUAGCCUCCAGAAAGAACACAUUUUUUUUUGUUUGAAGCACCCAGUUUGUCGUACUUUGUAAUAGCAGGUCUGGGAGACUACCAUGGAUGGUAUCCCUUCCAAUGACUCCAUCAUGAUAUUAUCACUGAGCAUUUCCCAUACGGUGUCCAGGAAUUAUGUGCAUACAACCCACCACAAGUGAGAAAGUAGUCAUUUCCCAGCUUUGCCACUGGGCUCUGUUUUCAAGGAUGAGUCAGGUAGCAGCCCACUGUGUGUCCCAGACUGCAGGGGACACAUUUUCCCUCACUGGGGCAGGAGGAGGAACUGACAUUGAGCCAACACCCUUUUAUUUCUAACAGCUUCAACCCUUUCAUAGCUUCUCGUUGGCAUUAGGCUGUAUGGAUAAGAGGCCUCUAUUGCAGGAUCUGCACAAGUCAUUCAGUGCCUCACUUUGGAGAUUGGAAAUACUGCACCUGUUCUUUUAGUUUCUGACUUUUGGAGCUUUUGAGAAAACUGAAACAGAAAUUGUCCCAUUUCGAUAUUCUGAUUUAAACCUAAAUUAAUUUCUGCCAGAUUUUCAGGUUUAUUGAUAUUAAGUUGCACAGAGUGUUUUUUAAAGUUUAAAAAAUCUUCUUUGGAUAUAUUUGGUUUUUUUCUCUCACAUGUUUUCUUAAUCAAACUUGCUGACCUUUGUUUUGUAUUCUGUACUAGUCUCUAAAAAAAGAAUCAUCUUUCUAUUUUACUGAUAAUUCUACCAAUAUAUUUGUUAUCAAUUUUACUAUUUUUCCUUUUAAUAUUUAUUACUUUCUAUCAUCUCUCUGGUUUAUUUCAUUGCUUAGCUUCUAGAGUUGAAUACUUCUUUGGUUUUUAUGCAAAAUUUUUUUCUAAUAAAUGCAUUUUUUUUCCCUUGGGUAUCAGCUUGGCCAUGUAGGAGACAUGCCCAGCCAGCGUUCAUCUGCCUGCCUCACCUUUUCCUCUUUUCUACUUGCUGUAUGGAACUUACAUCUGGUUAGGAAUCGGUCCCACUACAUUAGAUACAUAGGGCUGUCAUGCCAGUUUUCUAUAUGGUAUUUUUAAAAAUUCUGCCUUGUUUCUUCUUUGAUCCAAAAUUUAUUUAGAAGACCUUAGUCUUCUAAAUAUCUGCUGAUGCUUUGGAAUGGUUGCUGGCCUUUUGUUGUUAGCUUUUGGGUUACUGACCCUUUGAUGUUAAAUUUGAAUUUUCAUUGGAUUUUAAUUUACUGGAUUUUAAUAAAAUUUUAUUAUAUUUCAAUAAGUUAAAAGGGUCUGCAUGAGUUGUGCUUUGAAAAUUUGUCACCAUUUAAAAAAAUUUCCCAAUAUAUUGUAAAUUUGUGAAUGUUCCAUCUGUUUGAAAAUAACAUGUAUUCUGUUCCUUGGAUACAAAGUUCUACCACAAUUUAUAGAUCAAGCAAUUGAAUUAUGCAUCCUAAAUUCUCAAUAUCUUUAAUUUGUUAAUUAAUAUUUAAAGAUACACUUGUUGAAGUUUCUCAUUGUGAUUAUGAAAUUGUUUAUUUUUCUUUUAAUAAGAUUUUUAUUUCAAAAUUAAGUUGUUAGGAGCACAAAUAUUCAUGAUAAUAGUAAAGUUUUAAUGGAGUUAACAUUUUAUUAAUAUGAAAUAUCCAUCUUUGUCCCCUUUCAGUAGUUUUUAUCCUGAAUUCUACUUUAUCUCAUUUUAAUGUCCCUAUAUAUGCUCUCCUUUUGUUAGCCUUUGCUUUCAAUACCUUUUUGCCUUCUUUUAUUUUUAACCUCCCUAUGUUGUGUCAUUGUAUUUGGAUUUCUGAAAAAUAACAAAUGGCUGUAACAUUUCUCCAGUAGGAGAAUCUUUGUCUUUUAAUAUAUACAUUUAACCCAGGAAAAUGUAUCAUGAUUACUGAUAAAAUUGACUAUGUUCUCAGAA